CAGUAGCCGCGGGAAAACGAAGGGUGCAAGCGUUACUCGGAAUUACUGGGCGUAAAGCGUGCGUAGGUGGUGGUUUAAGUCCGUUGUGAAAGCCCUGGGCUCAACCUGGGAAUUGCAGUGGAUACUGGGUCACUAGAGUGUGGUAGAGGAUAGUGGAAUUUCCGGUGUAGCAGUGAAAUGCGUAGAGAUCGGAAGGAACAUCUGUGGCGAAGGCGACUAUCUGGGCCAACACUGACACUGAGGCACGAAAGCGUGGGGAGCAAACAGGAUUAGAUACCCCUGUAGUCCCUGUCUCUUAUAC
rnacentral:rRNA from 1 species